UUUAGGAUUUGUUUUGAAUUUGAUUUAGGAUUUAAGAUUUGGUUAGGAUUUUAUCAAAAUUUGGUUUAGGAUUUAGGAUUUGAUUAGGAUUUGGUCUAUGAGAUUAUUAUUACUUGUAAAUGUCUUUUAUUAAAUUAGAAAAAUAAGAAAAAAAAAUUAUUAAAUAGAAUAACUAAAACUAUUAAAGUGACUUCAAAAUAAUUUAAAACUUUAUUAGCAAGGUUUUUUAAAAAAAUAAAAAAGAUAGUAGAUUUAUCAGAAGAAUUACCACUAAUUAUCUUAUGAGAU
rnacentral:lncRNA from 1 species